rnacentral:rRNA from 1 species
UACGUAGGCAGCGAGCGUUGUUCGGAGUUACUGGGCGUAAAGCGCGUGUAGGCGGUUCGGUAAGUCCGCUGUGAAAGUCGGGGGCUCAACCCUCGGAUGCCGGUGGAUACUGUCGGACUAGAGUACGGAAGAGGCGAGUGGAAUUCCUGGUGUAGCGGUGAAAUGCGCAGAUAUCAGGAGGAACACCGAUUGCGAAGGCAGCUCGCUGGGACGUUACUGACGCUGAGACGCGAAAGCGUGGGGAGCAAACAGG